AUCCCAUGGUAAGGGUACUUCCGCAAAAGCUGUUUGAACCACUCAUAUGCCUCAUACAGAGAUUCAUAAUCAAGUUGUUGAAAUGUAGUGAUUUCAUUCCGAAGCUU
rfam:Gossypium raimondii Chr07_contig_718, whole genome shotgun sequence.